rnacentral:rRNA from 1 species
CCUACGGGGGGCAGCAGUGGGGAAUAUUGCACAAUGGGGGAAACCCUGAUGCAGCGACGCCGCGGGAGUGAAGAAGUAUUUCGGUACGUAAAGCUCUAUCAGCAGGGAAGAAAAUGACGGUACCUGACUAAGAAGCCCCGGCUAACUACGUGCAAGCAGCCGCGGUAAUACGUAGGGGGCAAGCGUUAUCCGGAUUUCCUGGGUGUAAAGGGAGCGUAGACGGCAGCGCAAGUCUGGAGUGAAAUCCCAUGGCUUAACCAUGGAACUGCUUUGGAAACUGUGCAGCUAGAGUGCAGGAGAGGUAAGCGGAAUUCCUAGUGUAGCGGUGAAAUGCGUAGAUAUUAGGAGGAACACCAGUGGCGAAGGCGGCUUACUGGACUGUAACUGACGUUGAGGCUCGAAAGCGUGGGGAGCAAACAGGAUUAGAUACCCCUGUAGUC